CCUGCCUACUUCCUGUUUGCCUCUUGGCGUUCCUCUCACCCACUUCCUCCCCUUUCACACCUUAACCAUGGAGUGGAGGACAAAGCUGGGUAAUGUCUGUCUCCAUCUAUUGUUCCUCCUUCCUGAGUUACCCCCUGCUACCUAACAGAUGCCUGUUUGUCUUUGGAAACUUUCUCAUAAGCUUCAGCUUUCUGUGGAGACUUCAGUCCAUCUUGCAUUCUUCGUCCCACUCUCAUAAAGUUAAUCAUUUACUUGGAGUUGCCUCUGCAUCUGGUACAUGCAUUCAUUAUUGUCUUUCUUCCCAUCUGUUACUAUUUGCUUGUACAUCUGAUAAGUAGCAUCCACUCAACACUAUGUCAGACAUUGUUCUAAGCAUGUAUAUUAACUCAUUUGAUUUCCGUAACUCUAGGAGGUAGAUACUGUUAUUGUCCCUCUUCACCCCUUUAUCUUUACAACUGUUAAUAUUGUCUUCACAAUAUCUACCUGCUUCACAACAAUCCUCUUAUGGUAUUAGUCUUAUUAGUAUCCCUAUUUUACAGAUGAGAAAACUGAGACAGAGUGGUUAAAUAACUUGCCCACUACAAUAGCUAGAAAGUAGCUGAGCAGAGAUUCAAACCCAGACAGCCUGGCUCCGGAGCUUGGCUCUUCGUCACACAGUGUACUUUCUGCAAAUACAAUAGGGACUCUCAGGAGACAGCAAGGAUAUGUUCUGCUUGGAGAAGAGUGAGCCUCAUGCCAGUCACAAAAGACUGCAUUGACCAAAGGCAUUGAAGCUCAAGUUGAGAACACAGAAUGACAAAGCCAUGGGUGAAGACCUUUGUUCUGCCUGACAAAAGAGAAGUGUAAAAGCCGCUGAGGCUUGAGUGUCACUGAUGAGUGGCUGCACCAUGUGUAGUUUGGGAAGAGGUG
ensembl:lncRNA